rnacentral:rRNA from 1 species
AUUGAACGCUGGCGGCAUGCCUUACACAUGCAAGUCGAACGGCAGCACGGGUGCUUGCACCUGGUGGCGAGUGGCGAACGGGUGAGUAAUACAUCGGAACAUGUCCUGUAGUGGGGGAUAGCCCGGCGAAAGCCGGAUUAAUACCGCAUACGAUCUACGGAUGAAGGCGGGGGACCUUCGGGCCUCGCGCUAUAGGGUUGGCCGAUAGCUGAUUAGCUAGUUGGUGGGGUAAAGGCCUACCAAGGCGACGAUCAGUAGCUGGUCUGAGAGGACGACCAGCCACACUGGGACUGAGACACGGCCCAGACUCCUACGGGAGGCAGCAGUGGGGAAUUUUGGACAAUGGGCGAAAGCCUGAUCCAGCAAUGCCGCGUGUGUGAAGAAGGCCUUCGGGUUGUAAAGCACUUUUGUCCGGAAAGAAAUCCUUGGCUCUAAUACAGUCGGGGGAUGACGGUACCGGAAGAAUAAGCACCGGCUAACUACGUG